rnacentral:sRNA from 1 species
UAACACAGAGGUACUGGCGGCGAUGCGAC